ACUCCGGUUGAUCCUGCCGGCGGCCACUGCUAUCAGGUUUCGACUAAGCCAUGCGAGUCAUGGGGCCGCAAGGCACCGGCGUACCGCUCAGUAACACGCGGAUAAUCUGCCCCCAGGUGGGGUAUAACCUCGGGAAACUGAGGCUAAUCCCCCAUAGCCAUCAUAUGCUGGAACGCUUUGAUGGUGAAAGCUCCGGCGCCUGAGGAUGAGUCUGCGGCCUAUCAGGUAGUAUGUGGUGUAAAGGACCACAUAGCCUAGGACGGGUACGGGCCCUGAGAGGGGGAGCCCGGAGAUGGACUCUGAGACAUUAGUCCAGGCCCUACGGGGCGCAGCAGGCGCGAAAACUGUGCAAUGCGCGAAAGCGCGACACGGGAAACCUGAGUGCCUUGACAAUGUCAAGGCUUUUCUCAAGCCUAAAAAGCUUGAGGAAUAAGAGCUGGGUAAGACGGGUGCCAGCCGCCGCGGUAACACCCGCAGCUCAAGUGGUGGUCACUUUUAUUGAGCCUAAAGCGUUCGUAGCCGGUUGCGUAAAUCUUCAGAAAAAUUCUUCCGCUCAACGGAAGAUCCUCUGAAGAGACUGCGCGAC
rnacentral:rRNA from 1 species